CAACUGUUAUGAGUUAUGCAGUAUUUGCACUGGAAUACCUUUUUUUAAUAAAAAUUAACAUCUCUUUCCCCAGGAGGUAACAGGAAGACAAGCAGCAAAUGAAUAAAUAUAUUCAGAGCAUAAUAGAGUUGCUAGAAGCGAUAUAUAAAAUUUACUGUCUAAAAAUCAAUCAUUUUUGCAAGACAUAUGAAGAAGAAAAGACAUCAAGAGUGUUUGCAGGCAGAUGAUUUGGAGUCUGAUUUGGAGUCUCAGAACAAAAAUAUGUUACUUUCUGUAAAGUCAGGUGUUUACUGGCUUUUCUGAUCUGUGAGAUAUGUAGCAGUUUGUAGGAGCAGCUUGUAGUUUAUCAUCUCAUGAUGCCUCUGGUGUCUGAAUUAAUAGCAAGGAAGCUGCGGCUGGGGUUGAUACAGAAGCAUGUCAGAACUGGAUGAUGGAGAGAUGGUAGAUAUGGAAUUCGUGAUAAAAAUUGCUCUGGCAAGAGAACCUUUCAAGCUAUCAUAACUGUGAAUCCAAUGUGGAAGUUGUUUGCUGCUCUUUUGGAAUGAAAAUAAUUUCACCAAAACCAGAGUCAUGAAUUGUCUUUCCAACGUUAAGGAUAUGCUUUAGCAGUCAGAUUUGAGACUUUCCAAUACAAAAACUUUAAACAUCACUAGCAUCCACUGGACUUUGCUGAAUAACCUCAUUGAAUAGAGCAUUUUGGAGAACAUUAAUAAAUUAUUCUACUGAGAGCCUACAUUGCUCCCAUUAAAGUGAAUACCAAAGUCUAAAGUCUCGGGGUUUAGAAAUCUCACAGUUGCAACCAUAUUGAUGUCAACUACAUCUGAGGUCACUUCAUUUCUCUCCUUAAAUUACUGAGUUCUAUAUCUGCUGGUUCUGUACUUUUGAGAACAAAUGUAAUGAAAUCAGGUAACCCUGAGACAAUUAUGAAAAAUAUUAGGAAAACAAUAAAUGCACUCUAUUUAUUUAUAUAUCUCAGUGAGAGAGCAAAAGUGAGCAAAGUAUUUUUAGAAAGCCAGCAGAGGGUAGUUGUCCAGUUGCAUGGAUAUAUAACUAUUAAUCAGAGUAAGAAAGGUUGUCAAAAACAUUAUUAGUACUGAUAGUUUUGUAACUGGCCAUCAACAGAAAACUCUUUCACCUCCAGGUUGAAAGGGUCAAAGUAAAUCUACAUCUCAGGCAGCAAUAAACUGGCCAUUUUACAUCAACUAAUAUCUGCCUUGCAUUAGGGACUGUUAUACCAGUGAAGGAUUUGUCCUUUGAAUAAAACAUUAAAUCAAAGUCUUUUCUGCUCUGUAGGCAUUAUGGAUAACAUGACAUGACUAAUAGGAGAGUAAUAAUGAUUAGAAAUCUCCAAAGACUUCUGACUUGAUGUUUAUCAAAUGUACGUAGUGGAUAAUGAAAGCAGUUUAUAAAGACUUCAGCAUCAGAGAGUUUAAUACACAAAAAGGAGGUGGGACUUCUUAAGGACAAAUAUCCCAUUCUAUUUCAAACAGACUCAAACUCUAGCGAAGACAUGGGCUGAAACAGGACAUUUCUGAAACAACUAAGUGACUUUCUGUGUUCACUGUGUUCUAUUGACUUUCAAAAUCAUAAUUUUUGUGCUUAUUUAAAUAUUUCUAAUAAGCAGAAGGAGGUGGAAAAAAUGAUGAAAACAGACAGAUUUUAGAAACCUGAAAAGAGAUUUAGUUUUCAUUGUAAUCUAGUUCAUAAACAGAAGAUGAAUAAUUUUCCUGUGUUCCUCUGUCAUAUGUAAUGCACUUUGUAUUCAUGUACAUUCCAAAGCUAUAGUCCAUUAAGCCCAUUGUAUUUUCCCAAAAUUAAAUUUUAAACUUGCAAAUGUAGUUUUGUGUAUUGGCUAUCAUAAUUCUGUGAAAUGCUGUGGAAAUUUCAGUAGGGCUGUAUAAAGUUAUAAAAAUGGAGAUCACAAAUAAAGUUGCCAUUUACCAGU